GACGAACGCUGGCGGCGUGCUUAACACAUGCAAGUCGAACGGAAAGGCCCUGCUUUUUUGGGGUGCUCGAGUGGCGAACGGGUUAGUUACACGUGAGUAACCUGCCCUUGACUUUGGGAUAACUUCAGUAAACUGGGGCUAACACCGGAUCGGAUCUCCUGCUGCAUGGUUGGGGUUGGAACGUUUCGGCGGUUGGGGAUGGACUCGCGGCUUAUCAGCUUGUUGCUGGGGUAGUGGCUUACCAAGGCUUUGUCGGGUAGCCGGCCUGAGAGGGUGACCGGCGACAUUGGGAAUGAGAUACGGCCAAGACUCCUACGGGAGGAAGCGGGGGGGAAUAGUGAAAAAGGGGCGGAAGCCUGAUGCAGCAACGCAGCGUGCGGGAUGACGGCCUUCGGGUUGUAAACCGAAUUAGCCUGGGACGAAGCGUGAGUGAAGGGAAUGGGUAAAGAAGGACCGGCUAAAUAAGUG
rnacentral:rRNA from 1 species